GAUGAAGAACGUAGCGAAAUGCGAUAAGUAAUGUGAAUUGCAGAAUUCAGUGAAUCAUCGAAUCUUUGAACGCACAUUGCGCCCGCCAGUAUUCUGGCGGGCAUGCCUGUCUGAGCGUCAUUUCAACCCUCAUGCCCCUAGGGCGUGGUGUUGGGGAUCGGCCAAAGCCCGCGAGGGACGGCCGGCCCCUAAAUCUAGCGGCGGACCCGUCGUGGCCUCCUCUGCGAAGUAGUGAUAUUCCGCAUCGGAGAGCGAUGAGCCCCUGCCGUUAAACCCCCAACUUUCCAAGGUUGACCUCAGAUCAGGUAGGAAUACCCGCUGAACUUAAGCAUAUCAAUAAGCGGAGGA
rnacentral:misc_RNA from 1 species